UACGAAGGGGGCUAGCGUUGCUCGGAAUCACUGGGCGUAAAGGGUGCGUAGGCGGGUCUUUAAGUCAGGGGUGAAAUCCUGGAGCUCAACUCCAGAACUGCCUUUGAUACUGGAAGUCUUGAGUAUGGGAGAGGUGAGUGGAACUGCGAGUGUAGAGGUGAAAUUCGUAGAUAUUCGCAAGAACACCAGUGGCGAAGGCGGCUCACUGGCCCAUUACUGACGCUGAGGCACGAAAGCGUGGGGAGCAAACAGG
rnacentral:rRNA from 1 species